rnacentral:rRNA from 1 species
GACGAACGCCGGCGGCGUGCCUAAUACAUGCAAGUCGAGCGAAGUUUUUCUGGUACUUGCACCGGAAAAACUUAGCGGCGAACGGGUGAGUAACACGUAAAGAACCUGCCUCAUAGACUGGGACAACUAUUGGAAACGAUAGCUAAUACCGGAUAAUAGCAUUAACUGCAUGGUUGAUGUUUAAAAGUUGGUUUUGCUAACACUAUGAGAUGGCUUUGCGGUGCAUUAGCUAGUUGGUGGGGUAAAGGCCUACCAAGGCGACGAUGCAUAGCCGACCUGAGAGGGUGAUCGGCCACACUGGGACUGAGACACGGCCCAGACUCCUACGGGAGGCAGCAGUAGGGAAUCUUCCGCAAUGGGCGAAAGCCUGACGGAGCAACGCCGCGUGAGUGAAGAAGGAUUUCGGUUCGUAAAGCUCUGUUGUUAGGGAAGAAUGAUUGUGUAGUAACUAUACACAGUAGAGACGGUACCUAACCAGAAAGCCACGGCUAACUACGUG